UACGUAGGGUGCAAGCGUUUAAUCGGAAUUACUGGGCGUAAAGCGUGCGCAGGCGGUUAUGUAAGACAGAUGUGAAAUGCCCGGGCUUAACCUGGGAACUGCAUUUGUGACUGCAUGGCUAGAGUUUGGCAGAGGGGGGUAGAAUUCCACGUGUAGCAGUGAAAUGCGUAGAGUAUGUGGAGGAACACCGAUGGCGAAGGCAGCCCCC
rnacentral:rRNA from 1 species